AUGUGGUUUAAUUCGAUGAUACGCGAGGAACCUUACCUGGGCUCGAACGUAAGAUGACUGUAGGUGAAAGCUUACAUCUCUUCGGAGCAUUUUACGAGGUGCUGCAUGGUUGUCGUCAGCUCGUGCCGUGAGGUGUCGGGUUAAGUCCCAUAACGAGCGCAACCCCUACCUUUAGUUGCCAUCAGGUUAAGCUGGGGACUCUAAAGGAACUGCCUACGCAAGUAGUGAGGAAGGCGGGGAUGACGUCAAAUCAGCACGGCCCUUACGUCCAGGGCUACACACGUGCUACAAUGGCCGAUACAGAGGGCAGCUACCUGGUGACAGGAUGCAAAUCUCCAAAGUCGGUCUCAGUUCGGAUCGGAGUCUGCAACCCGACUCCGUGAAGUUGGAUUCGCUAGUAAUCGCGCAUCAGCCAUGGCGCGGUGAAUACGUUCCCGGGCCUU
rnacentral:rRNA from 1 species